rnacentral:rRNA from 1 species
GUAGUUAAGAUUUAAAGCCUAACUAGCUAUAUGCACGUAGUCGUAACUGAAAGGUUGAUCGACCACAGUGGGCCUGAAUAAAGCCCAUGACGAUUGUCACAGCAGUGAGGAAUAUUGGUCAAUAGCCUAACGGCUGAACCAGCAACUUGGAGGAAUGUAUAGCAAUAGCUACUUGCAUCAUUGUAAUAUGAUGCAGGAUCGACUAUGUCGAAUAAAAUUCUAGGUAGAAUUAUGAUAAUGACAUUGUCUGCCUAUGUGUCUUGACCAAAUUACGUGCCAGCAGUCGCGGUAAUACGUAGAAGACUAGUGUUAUUCAUGUUUAAUCGGUUUAAAGGGUACCUAGACGGUAAAUCAAGCCUAAAAGGAAAUAAAUGAAGGGACUAAUUUACUAGAGUUACUUAUGAGGGGGUAUUAAAGUACUGCUGGUGUAGAGAUGAAAUCUGUCAUACCUCUUUUCAAUAGAAAAAUAAUGGCACAGGUAUAGGCGAAAGCAUCCCCUUAUGUGAUAACUGACGUUGAGGGACGAAGGCUUUGUGUAGCGAACAGGAUUAGAUACCCCAGUAGUCAAAGCAGAAAAUGAUGAAUGUCAUAGAUUAGAUAUAUAAGUUUAUUCUAUAAAUGAAAGUGUAAGCAUUCCACCUCAAGAGUAAUUUGGCAACAUUGGAACUGAAANCAUUANACCGUUUCUGAAACCGUAGUGAAGUAUGUUGUUUAAUUUGAUGAUCCGCAAAAAACCUUACCACAAUUUGAAUAUUUAUAUCUUAUAUUG